UACGUAGGGUGCAAGCGUUGUCCGGAAUUAUUGGGCGUAAAGAGCUCGUAGGUGGUCUGUCGCGUCGGCUGUGAAAACUCGGGGCUCAACCCCGAGCCUGCAGUCGAUACGGGCAGACUAGAGUGCUGUAGGGGAGACUGGAAUUCCUGGUGUAGCGGUGAAAUGCGCAGAUAUCAGGAGGAACACCGGUGGCGAAGGCGGGUCUCUGGGCAGUAACUGACGCUGAGGAGCGAAAGCGUGGGGAGCGAACAGG
rnacentral:rRNA from 1 species